CACACACACACAUAUAUAUAUGGUGCCUUCUCUAUGGAAUUGGUAUUAUUGAGAAGAGAGCAACAGCUAGAAUGAGACUAACAGCUGCUCUUGUGUUCCUUGUGGCUUUUGCCCUGAUUGUCGGAGUUCAGUCUGGUCCUCUUCCAGAUGAUGGACACACCCAUCAUGAACACCAUCAACACGAAGGAAAUUGUAACCAUGGAAACCAUCAGCAUCACCAUGAUCACGAUCAUGAGUCACACCAUCAAGGAGAAGCUCAACCAUCGAAUUGACCAGAUCAGCCAAUAAUGUUGGAAAGAUGACCAGAUCAGCCAAUAAUGUUAUAUUUAAUGGCAACACAUUAAAUAAGAUUGUUAAAGAGACA